UGGCAGUGGAUGGAAAUUCAAUCCUGAGGCCUAGAACAAGAUGAUGUUCAUCAGUUGGCUCCAGGCAUUUGAAAUAACAUAAGGAUUGGAAUGAAGUCAGUCUGAAGGCAGCAAGAAUAGACGAGAGGAGGGAUCUUAUAUAUUUCAUCUACAGUACUUCUAUGUUAAAAGUGAUAAAUGGAAGAUGAAAAAUAUGGUUACACGAGAAUAUAUUAGUCCUGUUACUGUAUGUCUUCCACAAGGCAACUAGUUGUCUGUAGUUUUUCGAGUUUUACAACACCAGCACAGCCCAGUUAUGACACUUGCACCGAUACUGUCGACCCUCUGUGACUGCAAUAAGUCUCAAAAUUUAGAUCUUUCCCUUAAGAUGUUACAGGUGACAUAAGUUUUGAUCUAAUCAAAUCUUAAAGAAAAGGCUUUGAGAAAAAAUGAUGCCUAGAUCUUGUAAACUAAGGAAAAGAAGAUUAAUGGAUCCACGAACUUGGUAUCAACACUAUGAUACAUGAUAUCCCCAUCAUACUUCUCCAAGACUACUGGGGAGCUAACAACAGUAGCUAGAGACUCCACUUCACUCUCAUCUGUUGGUAACUGCAGCAAGCAGACAGCAUUGGUGCCAAGAGUGUAGCGUGUCUUGCUCAAAAGGAAAAAUCCACUCCUCAUACUUUCUUCCAGGCUCAUGUUACUCUAAAAUUGUAAAAGAAUUUAAAAUUAUGGAUCUAAGAAAUUAAACUGCAAUAAAAACUGAAAUACA